rnacentral:rRNA from 1 species
AACGAACGCUGGCGGCAUGCCUAACACAUGCAAGUCGAACGAGACCUUCGGGUCUAGUUGCGCUCGGGUGCGUAACGCGUGGGAACCUGCCCUUAGGUUCGGAAUCACUCCCCGUAAGGGGUGCUAAUACCGGUUAAUCUCUUCGGACCAAAGAUUUAUCGCCUUUGGAUGGGCCCGCGUUGGAUUAGCUAGUUGGGAGGGUACAAGCCUACCAAGGCGACGAUCGAUAGCUGGUCUGAGAGGAUGAUCAGCCACACUGGGACUGAGACACGGCCCAGACUCCUACGGGAGGGAGCAGUGGGGAAUAUUGGACAAUGGGCGAAAGCCUGAUCCAGCAAUGCCGGGUGAGUGAUGAAGGCCUUAGGGUUGUAAAGCUCUGUUACCCGGGAUGAUAAUGACAGUACCGGGAGAAUAAGCUCCGGCUAACUCCGUG